GAUGAACGCUGGCGGCGUGCCUAAUACAUGCAAGUCGAGCGAACAGACGAGAGUGCUUGCACUCUCUGACGUUAGCGGCGGACGGGUGAGUAACACGUGGGUAACCUACCUAUAAGACUGGGAUAACUUCGGGAAACCGGAGCUAAUACCGGAUAAUAUUUAGCUUCGCAUGAAGCAAUAGUGAAAGACUGUUCUGCUGUCACUUAUAGAUGGACCCGCGGUGUAUUAGCUAGUUGGUGAGGUAACGGCUCACCAAGGCAACGAUACAUAGCCGACCUGAGAGGGUGAUCGGCCACACUGGGACUGAGACACGGCACAGACUCCUACGGGAGGAAGCAGUAGGGAAUCUUCCGCAAUGGACGAAAGUCUGACGGAGCAAUGCCGCGUGAGUGAAGAAGGUUUUCGGAUCGUAAAACUCUGUUGUAAGGGAAGAACAAGUACGUUAGUAACUGAACGUACCUUGACGGUACCUUACCAGAAAGCCACGGCUAACUACGUG
rnacentral:rRNA from 1 species